CCUGGUGGCUCAGAUGGUAAAGCAUCUGACUGCAAUUCAGGAGUCUCAGGUUCAAUCCCUGGGUCAGGA
rnacentral:tRNA from 1 species